rnacentral:rRNA from 1 species
AUUGAGCGCUGGCGGCAGGCCUAACACAUGCAAGUCGAGCGGAUGAAGGGAGCUUGCUCCUGGAUUCAGCGGCGGACGGGUGAGUAAUGCCUAGGAAUCUGCCUGGUAGUGGGGGAUAACGUCCGGAAACGGGCGCUAAUACCGCAUACGUCCUGAGGGAGAAAGUGGGGGAUCUUCGGACCUCACGCUAUCAGAUGAGCCUAGGUCGGAUUAGCUAGUUGGUGGGGUAAAGGCCUACCAAGGCGACGAUCCGUAACUGGUCUGAGAGGAUGAUCAGUCACACUGGAACUGAGACACGGUCCAGACUCCUACGGGAGGCAGCAGUGGGGAAUAUUGGACAAUGGGCGAAAGCCUGAUCCAGCCAUGCCGCGUGUGUGAAGAAGGUCUUCGGAUUGUAAAGCACUUUAAGUUGGGAGGAAGGGCAGUAAGUUAAUACCUUGCUGUUUUAACGUUACCAACAGAAUAAGCACCGGCUAACUUCGUG